GAACCAUCAAGAGACGACGGAGGGACUGGCCCUGUGAUGUCGCAGCAACCUUCAGCUAUGAAAGGUGCUAAUUCCAGCAGUGAUAUACUGGCAGAUGGGGA
rfam:Megasphaera elsdenii strain DSM 20460 draft genome